rnacentral:rRNA from 1 species
GACGAACGCUGGCGGCAUGCCUAACACAUGCAAGUCGAACGAGACCUUCGGGUCUAGUGGCGCACGGGUGCGUAACGCGUGGGAAUCUGCCCUUCGGUUGGGAAUAACUGAGAGAAAUUUCAGCUAAUACCUUAUAAUGUCUUCGGACCAAAGAUUUAUCGCCGAGGGAUGAGCCCGCGUAGGAUUAGGUAGUUGGUGGGGUAAUGGCCUACCAAGCCGACGAUCCUUAGCUGGUCUGAGAGGAUGAUCAGCCACACUGGGACUGAGACACGGCCCAGACUCCUACGGGGGGCAGCAGUGGGGAAUAUUGGACAAUGGGCGAAAGCCUGAUCCAGCAAUGCCGCGUGAGUGAUGAAGGCCUUAGGGUUGUAAAGCUCUUUUACCCGGGAUGAUAAUGACAGUACCGGGAGAAUAAGCUCCGGCUAACUCCGUG